GGGCCNNCNUAAUGCNUGCAGUCGAGCGAUGAGGUCCUACGGGGCCAUCAGCGGCAGACGGGUGAGUAACGCAUGGGUAACCCACCUUCAAGCCGGGGAUAACGUGUGGAAACGCACGCUAAUACCCGAUGCGUACGCUUAAGAGGAGACUGUGAGCGUAGAAAGUUACGGCGCUUGAAGAGGGGCCUGUGGCCCAUCAGUUAGUUGGUAGGGUAACGGCCUACCAAGGCGAAGACGGGUAGGGGGUGUGAGAGCACGGCCCCCCACAAUGGGACUGAAAGACGGCCCAUACUCCUACGGGAGGCAGCAGCAGGGAAUCUUGCGCAAUGGACGGAAGUCUGACGCAGCGACGCCGCGUGGGUGAAGACGGCCUUCGGGUUGUAAAGCCCUUUUCUGGAGGAAGAGGGAGGACGGUACUCCAGGAAUAAGUGUCGGCUAGCUACGUGCCAGCAGCCGCGGUAAUACGUAGGACACGAGCGUUAUCCGGAUUUACUGGGCGUAAAGCGCCUGUAGGCGGUUCUUCAAGUCGUUUGUGAAAGCCCUGGGCUCAACCUGGGGAGGCCAAGCGAUACUGGAGGACUUGAGGGUGACAGAGGGGAGUGGAAUUUCCGGUGUAGCGGUAAAAUGCGCANA
rnacentral:rRNA from 1 species